CUCCCUGUGGGAACACAUAGUCAGAAGAUUAGUAAGUUGUCAAAUGUCUUAACCCAAAUGACACAGCAUGUAAAGGGUGGCAAGGCAGCACCAGGUCAGCAGUAUCCCCGUACUUAAAUCAGAGGGAGGGUCAUGAAAAAACGCAAAUUUAAGGGUUGCAUCCCCAGAGAACCCGGCUCAGGAGUGGAGUCACAGAUCUGCGUGUUAAACCCUACCCCAGGAGAAUCUGGUAUUGGUGGUGAGAGGUCGGACUCUGCAAACAAAGACUUGAGCAGCCCAACCACUCCUCUUCCCUGGGGCCCCCUGGACCCAUGCAGGCCAUGGCGCCCAUGACCAAGCCCAUCCCUCUAGGGCCCUGGUUGAGGCAUGGAGCAGCACUUCUGGGACUUGUGAGCUUCUCCCCAUUCUCCACAAACUUCACUCACACACACUUUUCGUGCUUUAAAAUUUCCAUAACUUCCCAGUCCAUGACACCUUGUCCUGUUUGUCUCUACUAGAAGGCCUGAUUACAUACAAACUCAUGUGAUUUUUUAAAGGUAUCGUGAUAGUCCAUGGUGCUCCACAAAGAAGGCCCAGGCCGUCCAGCCCUGCCAUGGGUACUGUCCCUGCUCCACAGGUGCACUGGAAGCAUCCGCGAGGUGGGCCACACUGUGACCAGGACUCCCAGUGCGUGACCACACAUGCAGUGUGCAGGCCACCUGGGGCUUUAGCUAUGAGGGAAGAGUGGCCUUGCAGGGUGUGCCUCCACCAGGCUGGUCCUCCCUGGACAUGCUGCGGUGUCCACGGAGGCAUGGCCUUGUGCUGACAUGCUGCGGUGUCCACGGAGGCGUGGCCUCGUGCUGGCAUGCUGCGGUGUCCACGGAGGCGUGGCCUCGUGCUGGCAUGCUGCGGUGUCCACGGAGGCGUGGCCUUGUGCUGGCAUGCUGCGGUGUCCACGGAGGCGUGGCCUUGUGCUGGCAUGCUGCGGUGUCCACGGAGGCGUGGCCUUGUGCUGGCAUGCUGCGGUGUCCACGGAGGCGUGGCCUUGUGCUGGCAUGCUGCGGUGUCCACGGAGGCGUGGCCUUGUGCUGGCACAUGCUCCUGGGCUGCCCUCAGGACCAACCCCCUUGUCUGGGGCCCAGAUACAGGUCCUGAACUAACAGAUUUCUCAUCACAUCACCUCAAAAAACUUCAAAACCUCCCCAGUAUGAGGUGGGUAGAAAAGCCACGACUUGCCUGGCAUUCAGCAGCCUCUGUGGUCUCUAAGGCUGACUCACCUUCCCCAGUGUCCUCCCAUUGUGGUGUUUUACCCCAGUCUAGCUACUGAAAGUCCCCCAAGACCCACCUUCCUGCCGUGAUGUCAUCCCUUUGUGACUGCUGCCCUUGUCUCUGAGCUACUGGUCUGCAGGACUGGUGACAUGCUCCUCACAUCUGGCCAGGGUCAGCCCGUGUGUGCUCAUCUUACACACGUGGUCUCCAGCUCACCUCCAGCAUGAGCACUUGUGACCACACACUGAGAAUAACAGGUGACUCCAAGCUUGGAGCAGUUGUGAGCUCACAGCUGUCAGCUUGGGUCCAGAGGCCAACACACCGAGUAGCUUGGUGUUGCAGUGGCCUGGCUGUGCGGCCCGUGGAAGCAGACAACGGCAGUCAGGACUGCAGGGCCCUACCACGUCCCUACAGCCCUUCCCCAACACAGGAGGUGCAAGCUCAGCAUUACCCAAGAACAUGGGGCUGGGGCCAAGCGGUGGAGGCUUCAGUCUAAGUUCUGCAACGAAGAAUCAGCUUGGUUUUGGGUGAGCCAUGUGGGGCAUAAGGUUCUUCAGCAAAAUGAGGGACUGAACCAUAGAACCUUAAGUUGGAUUUGUGAAGAAAAUUACUUUGAGAACAAAAAAGGGAACAGUUUCCAAAUCACGAAAUGAUCUUACUAAUCUAUCAUAGCUCUUAAAAUGUAGUUCGCCUCAUUAAUGGAAUAAUACAAAAGGAAAAUGUAGUUUGCCUCAUUAACUUGGAAUAAUAUGACAGGACACUGAUUUCUGCCCAUUUGUAUGCAGACUUCAUUAGAAAAUAGUCAAAAUUUAGUUUCUAUAAAAAUUGUAAGUACCACUGUACCACACUGCAUUAGACUAACAGGUCAUCUUUAGUGCUCAAAAUAAACUUGUCCUGCAGGACCUCAUGGCCUCUGAAAUGAAAGAGGAGUUUGGCCUGACAACCGCCACGCCUACUGCCACCUAAGCAGCAGCGUCCAGCAUCUGCAGGUCUCUCAGCCGCUUGUCAUGGCUUCGCUGACAACCUCAGUCUGGAGAGGAGAGGGAACCCUGCAGGACUGUGUAUGCAGUGCAGACUUUUUUUUUUUUUUUUUUGUAAAGACAGGGUCUCGCUAUGUUUCUCAGGCCAGUGUCAAACUCCUGGCCUUAAGUGAUUCUCCCACCUCAGCCUGCCAAAGUGCUCAGAUUACAGGUGUGUGCCCAGCCACGGCGCAAACUUCUGAGGACCUACUGCCAACCAGGUAAGGAAACAGGCAAUGUGAGAGAGUAUCACACAUUUAUUUUGCAAUAAAUCAACUUUGUUUUGGGGGUCUCAAUCUCUGUCUAUCUAUAGUUGGUGGCAGAAAGUCAAAAGAUGGAGAAAAGGAUUGGGAACAGUAGAAAAAGCAGCCUUCCCUCUCAUGGUUGGACAUGGCUCCACACACCCUGGCUGCUCUCCCUUCAUGGGGUGCUACGCACGACACCUGGUGGGAUCUGGGUGCAUCUGAGGCGGCUACUCCCCCCAUGACACGAAACCUCUGAGAAUGGUAUUUGCAAGGCUGACACCAAGUAGUUCUCCUAGAGAUAGUCUGGGUGGAUAAGAAUCUGGGCUGAGUUCUCCUAUUCCAUCAAGAAAAAUAAUGGGACUGCAGUAGUUACAGGUGUAAACAUGAACUGAAGGAGGGCAUGAAAGAAUAAUUAAAAAGUCUCAUUAACAAAAUAAACUAAUAAGAUAUCUAACUUCACUGACAGACAAAGCAGCAUUCAAUCAAUGAGAUAGAUUUUUCAUCUACCAAAUUGGUUUUUGAAAACCAGCGGAUCACGAGGUCAAGAGAUUGAGACAAUCCUGGCCAACAUGGUGAAACCCCUUCUGUACUAAAAAUACAAAAAUUAGCCGGGCGUGGUGGCACAAGCCUGUAGUCCCAGCUGCUCGGGAGGCUGAGGCAAGAGAAUCGCUUGAACUCGGGAGGCGGAGGUUGCAGUGAGCUGAGAUCACGUCACUGCACUCCAGCCUGGGCAACAGAGCGAGGCUCUGUCUCAAAAAAUUAAAAAAGAAAGAUUCUAACUUAAAUCCUACAUACAUCUAUACGUAUGUGUAUGUAUGAUCACAAGGGUUGUACACACUAUGUAUGAAGGAUCACAUGUCCUAUUCAAAGUUCAGUCGAGCAGGUAUGUUCUCUAGAACCAUACACUAGAAGCUCACACUGAAAGUUACAGACAUGAAUAGGAAAACUGGCAAACACAUAACUGGCACUCAGAGACCUAACUACAAAGGGAAAACAACUGCCAUCAUUUCUGCUCACAGGCCUGUCCUUGGUAUCCAGAAAACAGCAGCCUCCCGUCACGUGCACAACUAUCCUUUGUCCUUUACUUUUAAAAGUCAUGUUUUGGUUUUCUUAAACUGUAAGUAAUACUGCUUUCCUUCUUUCUUCUUUCCUUUACUUAUAACAUUAUUGCAGGUUAAGGGUUCUUGUAUUCUUAUGUAUUUCUAUGUAGGUAAAUGAAUGUGUAUAUACAUAAAUAUGUACUAUGCACCUUUACACAUAUAAUCCAGUCACCUAAAUUUUUAAUAUGUAUGUAACUAUAUAUAUACACGUAUAUAUAUAUAUACGUGUAUAUAUAUAUAUAUAUAUAUAUAUAUAUAUAUAUAUACACGUAUAUAUAUAUAGUUUUAAGGCUAUAUUUGAGUAGGAAAGUAAUGUUGGGCAAAGAACUAAUAGGGUGUUUUAAAAUUCACUAUGAGCAACAGUGACUUACCCACUGCCAGAAGAGCCACCUACCCAACAGUGGCUGGUGACACCAGGGCACACACCUCUGUGGCUCAAUUAGCUCAUUAUUGAGAAAGCCACUGCGAACUCCCAAUGCAAUACGACUGCAACGUGAAGCAGUCAGAACAGAGUCAGGCUGUGGGGAGGCUGCACCUGGACCCAACUCCUUCCCCAAACCACAUCUCCACCUUUCACAGGAGGGAGCCAGCAGGGCUGCUGAGUGGUGACUCUGCCCUACCUAGGAUUUCAAGCCAGUCCUUGGCUGGUGGGGAGAUGAACGAAACUCACUUUCUGUUCUUAGUGCCAUGGUUUGUUAGAAAAAACGCCCUCCUUGUGGAAGCAUUUUCCUAAGUGACCUCAGGGAUCACAAGCUGCCCAGUCACAAUUCUCAGAAGGAACCAAUGAUUAAUAAUAAUUGGCACAGGUCCCACUUCUAACAGAACAGAACUAGAAGCAUGGGACAAGUCUCUGCUACGUUUGUAUACGCCAGUGCUGCUGAGUGGAUGGCUGAGGGGAAGUGGCCUCUGUGUGAUGGCUGCGUACUUAUGGGAGUGCUUUUAAAACCAACCUUUUUCUACAGCAUCUUUAUUUAAUCAUGUCUUUCUCAUGGAAAGUGGCAGCAUGGCCAGAACCCCGGACAGGGUGUCAAAAGCCUGGCUCUACUUUAGCCUUGCCAAUUACAACAUGGCAAGGGUGUGCACAUCCACGGGGUGUGGAAACGAAGAUCGAAUGCACUAAAUGCCUACGAAGAACAGUACACCUUCUGCUGCAUUUAAAUCUUGGUUUCUUCAUUUUACAAAUGAGAGGACACUGAGGCACACAGAAGUUUGGUUACUUGCCGUAUGUCCUUAAGAACCUGCUCAAGACCCCAUAGCUGGUGAAGGGUAGACCCAGCUCCCUCAUCUGUGUGACUCUCAGACUCCAGUGCUAUGUUGCCCACAUGGCCUAGGACCAGAGAACAGGACCCAGGGUUCCUUUCUGUAAUACUUCUGUCUUGUUGUUUAAUUCUUCUGACAGGGAAGAGGGGAGCAGGUGAGGCCCCCAGACUAUAAUGGAAAUGGCUCAGCAGCUGCUACAAACACCCACAGCCAAUGGCAGCCACAACCAGGGCCCAGGAGGGAGGCCAGGGCUGCCGCUCGGCGUGAAGAAUGCACAUUAACCUACUGAUAACUUAAAAUUAACAUUUUAAAAUUCUGUUUUUGCUUAAUGGAGGAAAAAAAGGCCACUUUUUGGAUACUGAUGCUAUGAAAUUUCUAAUACAAAAAAAAAUCUGGCAUUGUUCAUUAGUUGGACUGCUAUGCUAUGAGAAUUAGUUUAUGAAUGAAACCUAGUAUUGAAAGUUGUGGCCGGGUGUGGUGGCUCACACCUAUAAUCCCAGCACUUUGGGAGGCCCAGGCGGGAGGAUGGCUUGAGCCCAGGAGUCUGAGACCAGCCUGGGCAACAUAAUGAGAUGUCGUCUCCACACACACACAUGUACACGCACAUGUACACACACACAUAUAAAUUAGCCAGGGUGGUGCAUGCCUGUGGUCCCAGCUACCCAGGAGGCUGAGGUGGGAGGCUCACUUGGGCCUAUGGGGCAGAGGUUGCAGUGAGCAGGGACUGAGCCAUUGCAUUCCAGCCUGGGCAACAGAGUGAGUCUUAACACCAAAAAAAA
rnacentral:lncRNA from 1 species